UGACUUGAUUUUUAUCAAAUU
rnacentral:piRNA from 1 species